CUAAGAAUAUUCCGCAAUGGAGGAAACUCUGACGGAGCGACGCCGCGUGGAUGAUGAAGGUCGGAAGAUUGUAAAAUCCUUUUAUGACUGAGGAAUAAGUCGGGUGAGAGAAACGCCUGGUGGUGACUGUAGGUCAUGAAUAAGCAACGGCUAAUUACGUGCCAGCAGCCGCGGUAACACGUAAGUUGCGAGCGUUAGUUCGGAAUUAUUGGGCGUAAAGGGCACGCAGGCGGCUUUGCAAGCUUGGUGUGAAAUCUCAGGGCUCAACCCUGAAACUGCAUUGAGAACUGCAUGGCUAGAGUUAGUGAGGGGAAACCGGAAUUCCAGGUGUAGGGGUGAAAUCUGUAGAUAUCUGGAAGAACACCAAUGGCGAAGGCAGGUUUCCAGCACAUAACUGACGCUCAGGUGCGAA
rnacentral:rRNA from 1 species